UUCUGAAAUAAGAUCACGGUGUAGAUGCAUAUCGAUUAACAUUGUUAUUUUUCUAAGUAAAAUGAGUUUAACACUUGUUUAAAGUAUUGAUAGUAAAAACUUAAAUGUCAGAAUAUUGGAUGUAAAUAUCAAAGGCGAAAGGGGACUAUUAACGUAAUUAUUUGGACUAACGCUAUCGGCUACAUAUAAUCGACGAAUAGGCUUCACGUGCCAGAAAAGUGAGCCAAUCGAGCGGCUUUCCGUGCCACAACGAAAACGAAAAGAGGCAGCCGAGAAUGAACAGAGAGGCAGCAUUUUGACAGAGAGGCCGCCGAUAUGCAUCUACACCGUGAAGAUAGCAUUCAAGAAAGCGUUCUGACUUACCAAACAACAUAGAUUGGCGCCUUUUUUGAAUUACCGGGCUGCCUGGAACAAAGUAGAGGGAGGAGGUUUGUAUUUGUUUAAAUCGGCCGCCGAAAGCCAGAAGGGCUUAACUGCCUUCUUGCAGGUAAAUUUAGGGAACAUUGUGGCUUCCAUAGCAACGACCUGAAAUACAAUAAGAAGAGAAAUUCAUACAGCGUUCGUACAGCGACCUCGCGGCUCGUCUACGGUGCGCUCAAUUUAACUUUAUAUCCAUAUGUUAGUGGCUAUGGGCAAUGGUUCUGCCUUAC